GAUGAACGCUAGCUACAGGCUUAACACAUGCAAGUCGAGGGGAAACGAUAGAGAAAGCUUGCUUUUUCUAGGCGUCGACCGGCGCACGGGUGAGUAACGCGUAUCCAACCUGCCCACCACUUGGGGAUAACCUUGCGAAAGUAAGACUAAUACCCAAUGAUGUCUAAAGAAGACAUCUGAAUCAGAUAAAAGAUUUAUCGGUGAUGGAUGGGGAUGCGUCUGAUUAGCUUGUUGGCGGGGUCACGGCCCACCAAGGCGACGAUCAGUAGGGGUUCUUGGAGGAAGGUGCCCCACAUUGGAACGGAGACACGGUCCAAACUCCUACGGGAGGCAGCAGUGAGGAAUAUUGGUCAAUGGGCGAGAGCCUGAACCAGCCAAGUAGCGUGCAGGAUGACGGCCCUAUGGGUUGUAAACUGCUUUUAUAAGGGAAUAAAGUGAGUCUCGUGAGGCUUUUUGCAUGUACCUUAUGAAUAAGGACCGGCUAAUUCCGUGCCAGCCGCCGCUGUAA
rnacentral:rRNA from 1 species